UGCAGGUGAGCAGACCUCAGCUGGAGGCCGUCUACUGAUCUCAUUCCCUACAGGUAGGAAGUAAGUCUUCAGAGAAUCUCAGCAAGCCACCUCUGCGUCCACCAAAGAACACCAGCCUCAAAGAAACUUCCCCUACUCCCCAUCUUCCAAAAAAUCUGAAGGUGAGAAUCUAAAGUGUAGAUUGUUAUUUUUUAAAGUGCUUUUUGAAAUGUUAUCCUGACA
rnacentral:lncRNA from 12 species